GUAGAGGUAGUGGUGGAGGUGGAGGUGGUUGUAGAGGUAGUGGUGGAGGUGCUGGAGGUGGUGGAUGUAGUGGUGAAGGUGGUGGAGGUAGUGGUGGUUUAGGAGGUAGAGGUGGAGGUGGUGGAGGUGGUGGUGGUUUUAGAGGUAGUGGUGGAGGUGGAGGUGGUUGUAGAGGUAGUGGUGGAGGUGGUGGUGGUUGUGGAGGUGGUGGAGGUGGUGGUGGAGGUGGUGGUGGUUGUAGAGGUAGUGGUGGAGUUGGUGGAGGUAGUGGUGGUGGAGGUAGUGGUAUUGUAGAGGUGGUGGAUCUGGUGGUGGAUCUGGUGGUGGUUGUAGAUGUGGUGGUUGUGGAGGUAGUGGUGGAGGUAGUGGUGGUUGUGGAGGUAGUGGUGGAGGUGGAGGUUGUUGUGGAGGUGGUGGUGGUUGUGGAGGUGGUGGAGGUGGUGGUGGUGGUGGUUGUGGAGUUGGUGGUGGUUGUAGAGGUAGUGGUGGAGGUGCUGGAGGUGGUGGAUGUAGUGGUGAAGGUGGUGGAGGUAGUGGUGGUUUAGGAGGUAGAGGUGGAAGUGGUGGAGGUGGUGGUGGUUUUAGAGGUAGUGGUGGAGGUGGACGUGGUUGUGGAAGUGGUGGUGGUUGUGGAGGUGGUGGAGGUGGUGGUGGUUGUGGAGUUGGUGGUGGUUGUGGAGGUAGUGGUGGAGGUAGUGGUGGUUGU
ensembl:lncRNA